AAAGGAGCGAGGAGAGAAGAAACCGGUUGGAAAAAGAUGGGCGCCUGGAAGGCGGCGACGGUGACGGGGACGGUGACGGCGACGGCUCGACUCCCGCAGCCAGAACUGACUGACGCAGCCGCCGUGCGGCCCAUGUGACCAGAGCCGGGCGGGUGUGGGACGUCACGUGACGCCGCCGCGAGAGGCCGAGGUGAAAGGUGCACGACCCCCCUGAGGCCCCUUGACCUGUCUUCUGGCGCUAUCUGAACCUGGACUUCGGCCUCCCAAGGUGUGCAAAGCGCAAACCCCGCGGCCUUCCACAGGUCCAGUAGAAGGGCCGGGGGUGUGGGGGCUUUGUGCUUAGGUAGGGGAGAUGUCUAGAACUGUCUAGAACUUACCCUUGUCUAAAUGGUUUUUUUUUUUUUUUUUUUUUUUU